GACGAACGCUGGCGGCGUGCCUAAUACAUGCAAGUUGAGCGCUGAAGGUUGGUACUUGUACCAACUGGAUGAGCAGCGAACGGGUGAGUAACGCGUGGGUAAUCUGCCUUUGAGCGGGGGACAACAGUUGGAAACGAAUGCUAAUACCGCAUAAAAACUUUAAACACAAGUUUUAAGUUUGAAAGAUGCAAUUGCAUCACUAAAAGAUGAUCCCGCGUUGUAUUAGCUAGUUGGUGAGGUAAAGGCUCACCAAGGCGAGGAUACAUAGCCGACCUGAGAGGGUGAUCGGCCCCAUUGGGACUGAGACACGGCCCAAACUCCUACGGGAGGCAGCAGUAGGGAAUCUUCGGCAAUGGACGAAAGUCUGACCGAGCAACGCCGCGUGAGUGAAGAAGGUUUUCGGAUCGUAAAACUCUGUUGGUAGAGAAGAACGUUGGUGAGAGUGGAAAGCUCAUCCAGUGACGGUAACUACCCAGAAAGGGACGGCUAACUACGUG
rnacentral:rRNA from 1 species